rnacentral:rRNA from 1 species
AGAGUUUGAUCCUGGCUCAGAUUGAACGCUGGCGGCAGGCCUAACACAUGCAAGUCGAGCGGAUGAAAGGAGCUUGCUCCUGGAUUCAGCGGCGGACGGGUGAGUAAUGCCUAGGAAUCUGCCUGGUAGUGGGGGACAACGUUUCGAAAGGAACGCUAAUACCGCAUACGUCCUACGGGAGAAAGCAGGGGACCUUCGGGCCUUGCGCUAUCAGAUGAGCCUAGGUCGGAUUAGCUAGUUGGUGAGGUAAUGGCUCACCAAGGCGACGAUCCGUAACUGGUCUGAGAGGAUGAUCAGUCACACUGGAACUGAGACACGGUCCAGACUCCUACGGGAGGCAGCAGUGGGGAAUAUUGGACAAUGGGCGAAAGCCUGAUCCAGCCAUGCCGCGUGUGUGAAGAAGGUCUUCGGAUUGUAAAGCACUUUAAGUUGGGAGGAAGGGUUGUAGAUUAAUACUCUGCAAUUUUGACGUUACCGACAGAAUAAGCACCGGCUAACUCUGUGCCAGCAGCCGCGGUAAUACAGAGGGUGCAAGCGUUAAUCGGAAUUACUGGGCGUAAAGCGCGCGUAGGUGGUUUGUUAAGUUGGAUGUGAAAUCCCCGGGCUCAACCUGGGAACUGCAUCCAAAACUGGCAAGCUAGAGUAUGGUAGAGGGUGGUGGAAUUUCCUGUGUAGCGGUGAAAUGCGUA